UACGUAGGGUGCGAGCGUUAAUCGGAAUUACUGGGCGUAAAGCGUGCGCAGGCGGUUUUGUAAGCCAGAUGUGAAAUCCCCGGGCUUAACCUGGGAAUGGCAUUUGGGACUGCAAGGCUCGAGUGCGGCAGAGGGAGACUGGAAUUCCUGGUGUAGCAGUGAAAUGCGUAGAUAUCGUAAGGAAGACCAGUGGCGAAGGCGAGUCUCUGGACAGUUACUGACACUGAGGCACGAAGGCCAGGGGAGCAAACGGG
rnacentral:rRNA from 1 species